rnacentral:lncRNA from 1 species
GUUGUUUAUAUCAAGUCCUUUUAUUUUGAUACCACAGAAAUACCUUGUCACAAUACAGGGAGGGACACUGAAGUACCACGAGUUCUCACAGAGCACAAGAGGACGGCACACAAUUCACAAGGUCAUGUGGAGGACUCGGGUCAUUGCACUUACAACUGUAAACUUGUUGGUUUGACUUUGUACAGCACUCUUCCCCCUCAAGUAAAGAAGGAGAGAAGGAAAGAGAGGGAGGGAAAAGCAAAAACAAGACAUGGAAGCUAGAGGGGAAAAUGAAGAUGGCCACUGCUCUCCAGGGUUCCACACUUGGAGAGGAGCAGAUUUGACCCCAGAGGCUGAGUGAGUCUCGUGCACGCACAUACUCACAAAUACACACACACACACGCGCACACACACACACACACACACACACACACACACGCACGCACACACACUCAUGUACACGUGCUUACACACACAGUAUCUCACGACUUCUAUGGCUCUCCGGUGCCACCCGGCAUAUGGUAGCAAGGUGCUGGCACCCAGGCAGACAGAGAUGGCAUCUCCAGGCAGUUUCAGUUGAUUAGAUCUGUCCCUCUGACCUGUUGGAGUCCAUGGUGACAGAUAUUUACAGCAUGGGAAGAGAAGUGCUCAUAGGGCAGGACUGAACCAUCACGGCAAAGGGCCUGCCGGAGAAACUCCCUGUGUGCUCCAGAAUACAGGCUAGAAUUGCUGCCUUUGCUGUGCCUGAGACCACGUGCCCUACCCAAGGAAUCGGAAGGUAACAAUAGGAGGACUAUCACUAUGAAGUGAGUGUGUUGAGGCCUUGGGUAGGCAGAAGAGGGUUCCCUUGCUUAUGACACUGAGAGGGGGAAAUGGAGAAGGUCUGGACUCUACCCAGAGACUUCUUACCCAUUUGGAGAUACACUUAUUGCUUACCGUGUCCUACAGCAGCCAAUGAUGGUUCCCAAGUCUCCAGCUGUCAUAGCCCCAGAGUCAACACAAGGGCCAGGAUACCCACGACCUAGAAGACUAUUGCAGCCAUUUUCACAAAGGGCAAAGAUCUGUCCUGUCGGUACAGCCAGGGAUGUAGUGGCAGAUAUCGGAAAUGUCAAACUCAGAGUUUGGCCAGAAAAGAAAUUUGCUUAAAAGUUAAUACUUUAGAGCCUAGUGAGCCUGCCAGAGGUUGACCUGCAGACAUCCUGCCUACUCUCACCUGCUAGUCCAGUCCCUAGACUACGAAUGGAAAGGGUUACUGCCAUGAUCCCAAGUAUCUAAACGAUGGGCACAUCUGUAAAGACCUGGGCCUGUGUGACUGAGUUCCUCAAUGAUGGCCUUCUUGAUCCUUUGUUCAGAUGGCCCCAAAUAGCCCAGAUCUGAUCUCUGAAAUGUCCCAUAGCAUGAAGAAAGCCAAAUCCCAGGAACUCAGGAUCUUAAGCCUGACACAGCUUCAACUGUCCCAUUCAGAGCUGCCAAAGGUGGGACAGGAUUUGACUCUAAGGGAUUUGUAGGCCUUGCAAAAAAUCGUGAGAAAUGUGGACCCCUGAGAAAUGCGUGGUACAAAUGGAGCACUACAGAGGAAGGUCAGACCUCGAUGGGACAGGCAGUUACUGUCUGCCCUGCUCCUGUGUCAAGGAGAUGCUGAUAAAAGUGGAAUACUUCUGCUUCUGAGGAGAUGGUAGGCAAGUCCUGGGGACAGAUGUGGAGAGGGCUCACAGGCCCUUCAGUAAGUUUUGCUUUUUAGAAACCUCCUAAGCUCAGCUUGAAGCUGUUAUGUGAGUAGUUGUUCUGGAUGAUAUUGUUAGCCAAAGAGCCCACAGCCAGCCAGCCCUUCCUGGGCACCCUAAGACAUGGCUCCAGUUCAGAUCUCCUGGAUCACAGUCCUUUGAGAUUCUUCAUCACAAAAGAGAGACCUAGAGCAGGUUUAGUCAAGAUCUAGAGAUCCCGGGGCACAGCCAGACUCUGCUCUUGUCUUCUGCCUCUCCAAAGAUGUGGCCCAGCUUUGCCCUUGAACAGUGCCCCACUGCAAAGGGAUGGCAAGAUUCUUUUGGCUCAGGACUGGGGUAGGAGGGGAAAAUGAUAUACAAUUAGAAAUCCUACAGCAAACCCACAGAAUGUUUGUACACAUGCAUCCUGUGCAGGCUCCUAUCACCGUCUGUUCUGAGAUUUCUUUUUUAUCUGCUAUCGUGGACAGAUUAAAAACAACAACAACAACAGCAAGGUGUAUGGGGGCCUCACUGCCUGCUCCAUGGCCUGGCACACUCAGGCAGUUCUGGCAGGUCUUUACUAGCGUCUACAGAAGUCAGGGAGAAGUGCUCCUAAAGGAGAGGUUUGGAGGCAAAAAGAACUCCAAGCAAGAGGGUCGAGCAUUUAAAAUGAAUGAAAUCGUGCAGGGAGGCUUCGAGCUGUGCAUGCUCCACUGCGAGACAGGCGGUGCCUCACCUGGCAGCAGCGAGUCCUGCCACAGGUCAAACAUGCCACAGACUUAGAAUUUACACACACACACACACACACACACACACACACACACACACACACACACGGGCACACAUGCAUGCUCUUACUUUCUCUGUCUCUCACACACACACAGAAAGUGGGAACAAGGAUUGAUUGGGGUGGUGAUAUGAGCAGAUCUAUCCAGUUUCUCAACUGCAUGUUUGCAAUUAACUCUUUAUAUGUAACAUGGAAUUUAUUAAAUAUUAACAGUUGUCUUUGAGGGUUUAUAUUUCAUUGCAUAGAACAUUAGAGAUGAGACUUGUGGCUGUGCCCAAGAUGAAGGGAGGCCUCCAAGGGAAGGGCUUUGGGGAGGCAUGCAGCCCAGUCCACCAGGUGAAUGGACAAGAGUCACACUCCCCUUACCCUACAAGGCUCUGAGCCUUUCCCUUGGCCGGUGCAGAAGUUCUCUGCUCUGAGCACACCCACUGCUGAUGGCUUAAGAAGGACUGGAAUUGCACAGUAAACAGGCGGGCUGAGGGGCCUCCCUAGACCUCGCCCUGGGUUUGUGCUCUUGGUGGCCUGCUGCCUGCUAUUGCUUCUAAAUCAACAUUUCUCCCUGUGCUGAGCAGGGGCAGAGCAGAGAGGAAACCAAACCAUCAGUCACAAGGUGGUGGAGGGGGGACACAAAGGGAUAAAAGCAAAGAAAAGAAAGGGAGAGAAAGAAAAAUAAAACAAAAAAAAUGUUCAUGAGGUAUACAUGUAAAUCAAACUGGAAUGAUUAAGGCUGUUCUUGAAAUCAAAAGAAAUCCCCAGGUGUACAGACGAGGAGCCGGCUGGUUGAGACAAUGGUGGUGCUGCUGGGAUGCUCACAAUGGCUGGGGGGGAUGGCUUUAAGAUAAUGGCAGGCAUGUCUAGUAUGCUGCCAUCCACGGGCUGGGAGAAGCCUCAGCCGGUGCCCACGCUGCUUUUCGGUGCUAUGGCCUCUUAUUUCAGCGAUGAGACAGUGUUAGGUCCUAAUGUUUGUAAAGUUCUCCCAAACCCGUGCUGGCCAUGUGGAGGUCUGCUCCAAUGUCACCCAGAGGGCAGGGUGAAGGGGGCAAGGCCUUAUGGCCACAGAGGGAUCCGGGCCAGCUGGAAUGUGAAGGAAACGGAGCCUAGGGCCCCCAGCCCUCAGUCAAAGCCCCUCUCCAAGGCUGUGGAAAAACUUCUGGCAUCUUAGAGGGAGGGCAGUGUGCACCCAAACUCUGUGUAUAACGCAUUGGAAGCCUGGCUACCAGGCCACAGGAGGCUGUGGGAAGAACAGCAGAUAGCCACAGCAGCAACAGUGUUCUGGUGAGGGCUCCUCUCUCCCAAGGACGGCUGGCCUGAGGAAGGCAGGGUCUCUGGAAAGACAAUGAAAGGUCCCCCAAGCCAAAGGUCCCACUGGUCCAGCAGAUGCUUCACUUGGGUAGCUGCUGUUAGAACACAUCCUGUGCUCUGCUGAGGCCUGCCUGCUGUGGCCCACCUGGUGUGAAUCUUUGGGCCAAGGGUUUGCCAGAUUGUAGAUGCUUUGAAAAGAUGA